rnacentral:rRNA from 1 species
CCUACGGGAGGCAGCAGUGAGGAAUAUUGGUCAAUGGGCGCUAGCCUGAACCAGCCAAGUCGCGUGAAGGAUGACUGCCCUAUGGGUUGUAAACUUCUUUUGUAUUGGGGUAAAGUGCCCUAUGUAUACUGCUUUGCAUGUACCUUAUGAAUAAGGAUCGGCUAACUCCGUGCCAGCAGCCGCGGUAAUACGGAGGAUUCGAGCGUUAUCCGGAUUUAUUGGGUUUAAAGGGAGCGUAGGCGGGUUGAUAAGUUAGUUGUGAAAGUUCGGGGCUCAACCGUAAAACUGCAGUUGAUACUGGUAUACUUGAGUGUAGUAGAGGUAGGCGGAAUGCGUGGUGUAGCGGUGAAAUGCUUAGAGAUCACAAAGAACUCCGAUUGCGAAGGCAGCCUACUGAACUGUAACUGACGCUGAUGCACGAAAGUGUGGGUAGCAAACAGGAUUAGAUACCCGGGUAGUC